rnacentral:snoRNA from 1 species
AGCACCUAUGUGGGUGUUUGUCUGACAUGUGAACAAAAACUUGGAGACAGGUGCAAAAACUAAAUCCUCUUCUGUAACCCAGAACUCAUUGUUCUGUACGAGUUCUGAUACCGAUAAGAGGGAACAUG